GACGAACGCUGGCGGCGUGCUUAACACAUGCAAGUCGAACGGAAAGGCCCUGCUUUUGUGGGGUGCUCGAGUGGCGAACGGGUGAGUAACACGUGAGUAACCUGCCCUUGACUUUGGGAUAACUUCAGGAAACUGGGGCUAAUACCGGAUAGGAGCUCCUGCUGCAUGGUGGGGGUUGGAAAGUUUCGGCGGUUGGGGAUGGACUCGCGGCUUAUCAGCUUGUUGGUGGGGUAGUGGCUUACCAAGGCUUUGACGGGUAGCCGGCCUGAGAGGGUGACCGGCCACAUUGGGACUGAGAUACGGCCGAGACUCCUACGGGAGGCAGCAGUGGGGAAUAUUGCACAAUGGGCGGAAGCCUGAUGAAGCAACGCCGCGUGCGGGAUGACGGCCUUCGGGUUGUAAACCGCUUUCGCCUGUGACGAAGCGUGAGUGACGGUAAUGGGUAAAGAAGCACCGGCUAACUACGUG
rnacentral:rRNA from 1 species